rnacentral:rRNA from 1 species
GAUGAACGCUGGCGGCGUGCCUAAUACAUGCAAGUCGAGCGGACAGACGAGGCUUUUGCUUGUCUUACGUUAGCGGCGGGCGGGUGAGGCACACGAGUCUACCUUGCCUAUGGGACUGGGAUCACUUCGGGAACCCGGAUCUCACACCGGAUCAGAUGUUGAACCGCGGGGUUCUUUGGACAAAGACGGUUUUGCUGUCACUUAUCGAUGGUUCCUGGCCGGAUGAGCUAGUUGGUAGGGUAACGGCUUACCAAGGCUACGAUGCGUAGCCGACCUGAGAGGCUGAUCGGCCACACUGGAACUGAGACACGGUCCAGACUCCUACGGGAGGCAGCAGUAGGGAAUCUUCCGCAAUGGGCGAAAGCCUGACGCAGCAACGCCGCGUGUGUGAAGAAGGUCUUCGGAUCGUAAAGCUCUGUUAUUAGGGAAGAACAGCUGUGUAAUUAGACAUGGCCGUCUUGACGGUACCUACUCAAAAAGCACCGGCUAACUACGUG